rnacentral:rRNA from 1 species
AUUGAACGCUGGCGGCAUGCCUAACACAUGCAAGUCGAGCGCGAAAAGGGCAACCUGAGUAGAGCGGCGCACGGGUGCGUAACACGUGGGUAAUCUGCCUUAGAGUCGAGGAUAACCCUCCGAAAGGUUGGCUAAUACUCGGUAAGCUUACGGUGUCUUCGGACGCUGUGGGAAAAGUAGGCCUCUGUUUACAAGCUUACGCGCUGAGAUGAGCCCGCGGCCCAUCAGCUAGUUGGCGGUGUAACGGACCACCAAGGCAACGACGGGUAUCCGGCCUGAGAGGGCGGACGGACACACUGGGACUGAGACACGGCCCAGACUCCUACGGGAGGCAGCAGUGGGGAAUUGUUCGCAAUGGGCGCAAGCCUGACGACGCAACGCCGCGUGGAGGACGAAGAUCUUCGGGUCGUAAACUCCUUUCGAUCGGGAAGAACGUUUCCGGGAUGAACAAUCCCGGGAAGUGACGGUACCGAGAGAAGAAGCCCCGGCUAACUCCGUGCCAGCCGCCGCUGUAAUAC